CUCAAGUUUCUCUCAACCCUAACCGUCCCUCAUAUUUGUCUCUUCACUAAUCAUUUAGAUGAACUCCUCUCGCACUGCCUUUUUUUUUGCUGUCUACUGUUUCCGUCUUUGUCUCGACGAUCAUCUGCUGCCCUUUUUGUUACUGGAAUAGUCUUCUGCUCCUACGAAUGUCUUUGGUUUGAAACCCUUAGUUGGCUACAAGUUUUUGCCGUUUUCGAUUUCAUCGAAAUUCAUUUUUUUCCUCGCGUGAUCUAGCAUCUUCUGGUGAUUUUAAGGAAACGAUGCUAGCGAGGAAUCGCCGCCACCAACAGAACUUGUAGACUUGGACUAUCAGAUUCUCACUCAACCCGAGUGGUGCCGGUGUUGAGAAGCUCACCAAGAGCAGGCCCCGUACCACCGCUGCCAUCUCCAUUGUUUGGGGAAAAUCCAUCGGAGAAGAUAAGGACUCCAUCUUCUCCAAAUUAUCAUUGUUUAUUUAAUAUUUUAUUAUUGUAUCUUUAAUAAUUCCUUACCACUACAUUCAUUAUUUAAAUGUUAGAGUGAAACUUUAAUCAUUCAUGGCAGGGUACAAAUACAGAGUGUAAUAUACACCCACUAUCUCACUGUCUGGAAAACUCACUAAGAAGAUAAGAGCAUGUGUAUCUUCUUUACAGCUCAUUGUUUAAUAUUUUAUUAUUAUGUUGACCUAAAACAUAUCACAUCACAUACCAUUUUAUUAUUUAAUCCAUUAGACACAUGGGUAGGCGGAUCACAUUCACCUAAAACCCUCUUUAAUCCGUUCACCCACUACAUCAUUUUGAGUAUUAUUGUAUUAUUGCAACGACAAUUUACAAGAAUAAGCAUUACUAGAUGUACACCCACUACAAGAAUAAGCAUUUCUGAUUAAAUUAUUAUUUUUGAUAAACCCAUUUAGAAUCUGAUCUGGGUUUUGUCUGGAUUCCAGGGUAAAAACUGUGAAACUUAAAGUUGGUUUGAUCUGGGUUUUCCAAGUUCUGCAUGGAACUGUUGGCUGCUGCUGCUCCGCUCCCACAAUGCUCAUUUUUUACACAUUGCUUCGUUGAUCCGAUCCCCGCUCCAAUCUGCCAAACAGUGUGAUUUUGUGUGAAAGAAUCAAAGAUGUUGGGAAUUUUAAGGCAAAAAGUGGGAGCUGGAAGCUCAUCAGCUAUGAUUUUGGGGCAGAGGAUCCGCCCUGCCACAUCGGCAAUGAGGGGUUGCGCAUCUUUGGCGAAAGAGGGCUUGGUUGUUUUGGCAUGUUGAUGUUAUAAAGCUCAUUUUUAUAGUUAGGUUGAAGAUCAUGUUAGUAGAUUUUUUUUUUGGUUGGUUCGGAUCGGGCAAUUCCGGAGGCCCUGCCAUCGAGGUACGUAAAAGCUGCCAAUUGGAUUUGUUCCCCAGAUGAUAAUGGCAUACCUAUAUAAUGGUUGUUCUUUUGCUUUGAUGUAGAAGUGCUUCUUGGGGAUGUUGGAGCUGGGAAAUCGAGUCUGGUGUUGUGCUUUGUAAAAUAACAAUUUGUUGAAUUUCAGGUUUGUUCUAUAUCUUUCAAAGGACGCAUUUUCUUUUUUAUCCAUACCUGUACUUUUAUAGUAUGUUAUUACCAGAAUCAAUUGCCACCCUUAGUUGGUGGUAUUAUCUUUACAACACAUUCAAAGCAGCGAAUAAAAUCGCACUUGCUAUUUGUUCUGUCAA